UAGGGAAUCUUCGGCAAUGGACGAAAGUCUGACCGAGCAACGCCGCGUGAGUGAAGAAGGUUUUCGGAUCGUAAAACUCUGUUGUUAGAGAAGAACAAGGACGUUAGUAACUGAACGUCCCCUGACGGUAUCUAACCAGAAAGCCACGGCUAACUACGUGCCAGCAGCCGCGGUAAUACGUAGGUGGCAAGCGUUGUCCGGAUUUAUUGGGCGUAAAGCGAGCGCAGGCGGUUUCUUAAGUCUGAUGUGAAAGCCCCCGGCUCAACCGGGGAGGGUCAUUGGAAACUGGGAGACUUAAGUGCAGAGGAGAAGGGUGAAAUUCAAUGUGUAGCGGUGAAAUGCGUAGAUAUAUGGGGAAACACCAGUGGCAAAGGCGGCUCUCUGGUCUGUAACUGACGCUGAGGCUCGAAAGCGUGGGGAGCAAACAGG
rnacentral:rRNA from 1 species